GAGGGAGGGAGGAGGGAGGACAAAUCAUACUUAGUACAUAAACACACCCACACUUUUUUUAUGACCAUUUUGCUACUGUUUUGUUAAACAAUGGAACCUAUUAAAUUUUGGGAUUUUCCUCCCAACUGUGAAAAAAAUAAACAAGCAGAAUUUUAUUUCAGUGUUUGUUUUGGCAUCAGGUUUAAUUAUUUUUCUUUUCUUUUGGUUAUAUCAGCUCGCCGCCUCUGGUCUGUCAGCGUUAGCCCCUCAUACAGGAGUACUAUGGGGUUCUGGUGGAGCACAUAUUAAAAAUAAUAAAAAAACAAGCAAUUUCACAAACACCAAAACCUGGAGGAGGUUUGGGAAGAAGAGCAGAGCCUGGAGAGAAUAAAUAGAAACAGAGCUACAAACCAGAUUAAGGAUCAAAGGACCCAACUUCUUCCUAAAACAUUCGACUUUAUAAAAUACCAUCCUGGGAGCAAAAUGACUCAUUCAAAUGGCAUACAGUGUGAGGAUGGAAGGGACAGGGAGGCUGCAGAGCAGCAAGAGGCCUACAUCAGCAGUCUGGCAGAUUUGAUUUGGAAAAUUCUGAUGAUAUAUAAGAAACUAGAGAUUAAUAUCAUCCCAUAGAAUCAUUCUUCCAUUCCUUCCUCCUGUACAGAGCACCUCCACCAUGAGAGAUGCUAUGCAAGACACGACCCAGUCAAUACAUCCUUUUGAGGAAUAUCAAUUAACAUUGUCCAGCAGUUCAAGAACCUCAAGGCUGACUAUCCUUCGCAAAGGAGGCCGAACAGCUCCUGUGUCUGGAGGGCAUGGCCUGAGGCAGCACCGACACCUGGGAACAAAGAGAACCAUCCAUGGAACUCUGGGCCUUGCCUCUGGAUGGAAGAUUAAACUGCCUUACAAGGAAAGUGCCCAGGGAGAUGUGCUGGUUUGAAAACCCCAAACCUCUGAAAUGUUAAGUCAAUUAACCCACGUCUGUGCAGCCUCCGUCAAUGAAUGUGAUAGCGUAAGAAUACUCAUUUUUUGAAGAACAAACUGCUUUUGUCUGCACCACUCAAUUUAAGGGAAAACUACUUCUGGAAUCCUAUCCAAGCUCUUCAUACUCUGGAUAAUUUCUACUGCCACUCUAAUUAUCAGCCAGGACGCUGAUUUGUAAUCACCCACUUUCAAUAAUUUAAAUAGGUAGUUGUUCAGCCAACUAUUUUUAUUCAAAAUGUGACAAAAGCUAAAAUUACACGUUGAAUUUUAUCCAGAUGCCGUCUUCUUUUAGGACAUGCCAACGGAUGCAGAGCGAUUGUUCAUUUUCUUCUAACAUGUCAGAGGCACAUCUUUCCUUCAUGUAUCUAACUAGCAAUCUAAGACACAGUCUGCAAUUUAUGUAUCAGUUCGGUUGCUUCCAGGACCAGCAGGCAGGGCAUUCUAAGAUUUAAUUCCGUGUGCAGAAUCAUCAAACAUAACCACACCCAAGCCAUGUUAUUCUCUAGAUUUUAGAGAUGAGCUUUUCACUGUCUGAUUGAAUUUCAGCAAGGAUCCCUUUGGUGGCUGCAUUUUCCUCCAAUAAUAAUGGCCACUUUGAAUAAAUUUGUCAAUAUGACUAUCGCUACUUAAUAUUUCUGUAGAGGCCCCUAACAUCUUUGGUCUAUAUUUUCUUUUAUACUUUUGCAUACAAAGUGGACCAACUUUUUCAUCUCAAAAAGAACUGAAUCAGACAGAAUCCAGAUUCCUUAAGGAAAAAAUUCUAUUGUUUCAUACUUUUUUUUUUUUUUUAUUCCAGUAAUUACUGUCUUCCGGGCUGGCAAAGGAGUUCACUCUGAAAAGUCCCUGAGCUGCAAAAUUGCAAAAUUGAGAAGCUAGGUUAAAGGUUUUUCUGUUUUGUGAAAUUUGCUAGAUUUUGCCAAGCCCCUGUUUUUGCACUGAAAAAGUUUUAGGGAAAGCUUGUUGUUAUCCUUUGUCUGGAUCCUCGUUCAAAAACUCCCUGUGGAGUAGUUUAUUGCUAUUAGUGAAUGCAGAUACAAACAGUUGCGUCAGAGCAGCUCAGCGGUCCUUUGGUCAGCUCCCAGUAAGCCCCCUCUCCAGUUUCUCAUUGUGGGUUUUCCAAAUUUUCAUCCCUUUCUUCAAAUCCACCCCAUAACUCCCCACAGUCACUAUCACCAGAUUACUUUGGCUCUUACCUCACGGAGGAAGCAGACUCUAUUAACAAGAAAUCCUUCAAAGUUCCUUUCACUCCAUAAACACACCUACAUUUGCAAUCUCAGGAACAGGGUUGGGGUUGGGGAUGAAGAAACUCUUCUGAUUUUGCAGGACCAGUCCCUCCACUUCCCGUUUCCUCAGAGCCCUUGCUCCCCCUUUGUCUCUUCUCUUGCAUACAUCUGAGUAUGAUUUAGGGUAUUGAUUCAGGGUCCAUCGGAGUCCAAGUGACAGCUCCCAGCUCCCUCCUGAACACAGAGGCCACAGGUGGCUUCUUUGACAGAAGCUGCCAUGUUUUCAGUUAUGUGGCACUGCCCCCCUGGCUUCAAGGGAUUGCAUUAUGGAGAGGGGCUGUAGCCAAAGCAGCAGAUGUAAGGGCCGUAGCCAAAGGCAGCUCAUAUGUGAGAGCCAAAACGACAUAGUGUCUGAGUCCUGGUUGGAUUCCUGUUUGCAAGCAAUAGAAAAUGAUUCUGGCUAAUUUAACCUCAACAGAAUAUUUGCUGGAAGGGUGUCUGUGGCUCAGAUAUCUAUAGGGACCUAGAAGACCUGGUUUAGAGAGGAGGCAGGAACCCAGGUGCUCUGAAGAGGUCUGCAGUGGGGAACACAGCAAAGUUAUACGUGAGGAGCAGUAUGUUCAGCCUGCUGCCUCCACUGCUGCUCCUUUGGUAGGGGUGGUCUUCAGCUGUCCCUGUACUUGUCCGACUAGCCAAGGCCAAGUGACAUACUUGCUCCAUAGCCAGGCUAGUCAGGGAGAGAGAAUACUGGCUCAUUGGCUACUGUGUAGGAUGUGGGUUCCAGGCCCGUGUCUACACAGUAGAAGAUUCCCCAGAAGAGAGAGAGAGCACAAGUGGGGGGAGGAGCAGAGGAAGUGGGAGAAACAGACUCCCUGCUGAGGAGGGAGCCCGACGUGGGGCUCGAUCCCAGAACCCUGAUCUCAUGACCUGAGCAGCCACUCAGAGGGAGCGGAGAACCCUUGGGGGCAGAGGGAUCAGUGGGACGGGAGCAGAACAAGGGAGAGAGCAGAGGCCAGAGAGGUGAUACGGAUGAGGGGGGAAGAUUUCAAUUAUUAAUUUGCUUGGGGGUUACAUGAAACAUUGGCAUGCAUAACAAAUGCUCGGGGAGUGUAGAAUUGUAUCUAAUUGUAAUUGUAUCUAAUUGUAAUAAGGAGAGAUAUAUGGUAGUGUUAGAAUAGUGGUCCCUGGGUGUCAGGUGGGAGAGUAACUGUCAUCAUCCCAGCUCCAGAUGAGCCAGGGUGAGUAGGACAAGGAGGCGAUGAGGACCCAAGAAGUAAGGCUUAAUCCAGAUUGUGGCCUCUCUCUCCCAUUCAAGUGUUCUGUUAUACAACCCAGUACCCACAAUGCAUGUGGCUUGCCCAGGCACCCAUGGGAUCAUUCACUCACAAUUUUUAAAUGUCAUUUUCUCUGUUUUGGAAUUGCUAGGUAAAUUUUGUCAAUGAUGGUUUCCUUCAUUUCUGGGUCUUUCAUGUUUGCAACUAUGAUUUGUGUUGAUAAAUGGCUAAACACUUUGAAAAUAUAAUAAAGCAUUAUGGAAAUUCUGAACAAUUAGAUUAUUUUUUGCUUUCGUGACUCAGAAUUGGCAACUUUACAAUUUGUGUUUUAUCUCCUUUGGAUGAUUACCUUGAUCAAUCAAGCCAAAUGGAAAUGAAACCUGCUUUAGGUGGGGGUGGAGCAUGGGCAAGUAGACUUUGGCCAAGUAGAGCUGACAAUCUUUCAGGGAUGGAAAGAAUCUUGUCCAGUUUCUUCAUUUUGCAAGUGUGGAAACUGAACUUAGUAAGGUCAAAUGAUUUGCUAAGGCCAUCCUGGGGGAACAGAAAUAGGAGUCUAUAUUUCCUCGCCUUAGUUGAAUCAUUAUAGAAUCAUUAAUAUUUGGUAGAGACAGUAGAAAAGCUUUAUUUUCUAACCACUGGGUAAGUGGAGAUGGAAUUUAAAAAAUAUUUUAAAUCAGGUUUUAUUGACCUGUUCUUCAUGUAUAAUCUCCAUUCCACAGGUCUAGGGUCUAUUUUGAGAAUCUAUGAGGAAUUUGGGGAAAAUAGUGAAAUGGUCAGGUUUAUACUUUAGGAGUUAAUCUAGCAAGAGUACUCCUCAGUACUGCAAAGAAAUCUUAAAAACUGUAUGUGUUUAAAAAAUAUUUCUCGU
rnacentral:lncRNA from 1 species